CAGCAGCCGCGGGAAUACAGAGGGUGCGAGCGUUAAUCGGAUUUACUGGGCGUAAAGCGUGCGUAGGCGGCUUCUUAAGUCGGAUGUGAAAUCCCUGAGCUUAACUUAGGAAUUGCAUUCGAUACUGGGAAGCUAGAGUAUGGGAGAGGAUGGUAGAAUUCCAGGUGUAGCGGUGAAAUGCGUAGAGAUCUGGAGGAAUACCGAUGGCGAAGGCAGCCAUCUGGCCUAAUACUGACGCUGAGGUACGAAAGCAUGGGGAGCAAACAGGAUUAGAUACCCGAGUAGUCCCUGUCUCUUAACA
rnacentral:rRNA from 1 species